AGGGGCUUAGCUCAGUUGGUAGAGCACUGGUCUCCAAAACCAGGUGUCGUAGGUUCGAGUCCUGCAGCCCCUGCCA
rnacentral:tRNA from 1 species